UGAUACUUCAGAACAAUUGUACCUUACAGCAAAAGAUGGGUCAGUUUGAAUAACAACACUUAAAAAUCAACAGUAUGGGGUAUCGACGCAGCAAUCAGACAUCUGGAUCACAUUCGAUUACUUUUACCACUGGGAGAUCAACUGUUAGCAAUGAAGCGGAAACAUUGAAAAAAUGGAUAAACUUUAAUGAUCAGCUCGACAAACAAAUUACAUUUCUUCGAGAACACUGCUCCAGAGCCAGAGAAUCAAAAGCAAAAGUUAAGGAAAAGACAAUAUGUGUGUCGACUUGACGUAAAGAAUUUAUUGAUUUAGUGAAGAAUGUAUCCACAAAGAGCUACAAUCUGUAGUGAAUUUUUAAAUGAAAUAAAAUAAUU